CGUCGGGUCUUACGCAAUUGUUAACCGUGAACCCCGUCAGGCCCGGAAGGGAGCAGCGGCAACGGAGCUUUCAAUGUGUGUGAAUCGCCCGGCGCCU
rnacentral:SRP_RNA from 1 species